rnacentral:rRNA from 1 species
GAUGAACGCUGGCGGCGUGCUUAACACAUGCAAGUCGAACGGUGAAGCUCCAGCUUGCUGGAGUGGAUCAGUGGCGAACGGGUGAGUAACACGUGAGCAACCUGCCCCUGACUCUGGGAUAACAGCCGGAAACGGCUGCUAAUACCGGAUAUGCACCAUGAACGCAUGUUCUGUGGUGGGAAAGAUUUUUCGGUUGGGGAUGGGCUCGCGGCCUGCCAGCUUGUUGGUGAGGUAAUGGCUCACCAAGGCGUCGACGGGUAGCCGGCCUGAGAGGGUGACCGGCCACACUGGGACUGAGACACGGCCCAGACUCCUACGGGAGGCAGCAGUGGGGAAUAUUGCACAAUGGGCGAAAGCCUGAUGCAGCAACGCCGCGUGAGGGAUGACGGCCUUCGGGUUGUAAACCUCUUUUAGCAGGGAAGAAGCGAGAGUGACGGUACCUGCAGAAAAGGCGCCGGCUAACUACGUG